rnacentral:rRNA from 1 species
CAGCCGCCACGGUAAAACGGAGGGUGCAAGCGUUAAUCGGAAUUACUGGGCGUAAAGCGCACGCAGGCGGUUUGUUAAGUCAGAUGUGAAAUCCCCGAGCUUAACUUGGGAACUGCAUUUGAAGCUGGCAAGCUAGAGUCUUGUAGAGGGGGGUAGAAUUCCAGGUGUAGCGGUGAAAUGCGUAGAGAUCUGGAGGAAUACCGGUGGCGAAGGCGGCCCCCUGGACAAAGACUGACGCUCAGGUGCGAAAGCGUGGGGAGCAAACAGGAUUAGAUACCCGAGUAGUCCCUGUCUCUUAUAC